UACGUAGGGUGCAAGCGUUGUCCGGAAUUAUUGGGCGUAAAGAGCUCGUAGGCGGUCUGUUGCGUCGGCUGUGAAAACCCGGGGCUCAACUCCGGGCCUGCAGCCGAUACGGGCAGACUAGAGUUCGGCAGGGGAGACUGGAAUUCCUGGUGUAGCGGUGAAAUGCGCAGAUAUCAGGAGGAACACCGGUGGCGAAGGCGGCUAUCUGGACAGAAACUGACGCUGAGGCGCGAAAGCUAGGGGAGCAAACAGG
rnacentral:rRNA from 1 species